GUGCGGAAAUGGUGAAAAAUAAGGCAACACCAAUAAAAUGUGCUUAAUCUCUAUGAAAUUAAUAUAUAAGUUGAGACAAUAUACAAAUAAAAAAUGUAGUGUACUUACUGUUAAUAGUACACAUACAAUAGAAAUUGAGAUAACUAUAUCAAUAGUAUACAAUAGAAAUUGUGCCUAUCCUAGUUGCACCCAGACUUUAGCUAAUCUUCCACAAACUUUAGAGUUUCCUUGUAGUUGGAGAACUGGUACAAUGCCGCACAAACUCUAGAGUUUUCUGCUUGUAUAUGGCACAUUAUGUGCACUAAUUACUUGGUAUUGGAUGUAAAGUUCUGACCUAUUUUGAGUAUAACUUUCAAUGGCCUUCUUUUUCAGUUGUUCUACUUGCUCUUCCGUGAGUCUUAAACAAUUCUGCAAUUGAUUUGUUCUACAAUUGGACAUAACAUAGCAACACUUAAGGCCAAGUAUAAAAAAAGCUUCUUCAAGAACAUAAAUACAUAACACACAAAAAAGGUCAAGUAAAAAUAUGAUACAUAACACUUCCUCUCACUUGGUGUAUACAAUAACAAUGCUGCAAAAGUACAAACAGCAGAUGAAAACAAAUAUAAAUUUCAAAUGUCCAUACUCAAUACACACAAAAAAAAUCUUAUUAAAACAUGUCAAAUUAAAUAAAAGAAGUGACGUCAAAUUAAAUAGAAAAGCUAUUUAUUACCCAACAAAAAAAACAUAGAAAGGCUUUUGAAUACUCACUAUAAAAUCAGUACUUAUUGAUGUGAAGAUGCCUCAGCCAUGGAGAAGAUAGAGAAAUAUACCUAAAUCCACAACAUUCAAAUGUGAUGAAGCUUUCUCUAAUGUUGUAAGAACCCUGAAGACUCUAUGACAUAAUCAACACCAAAAUCACCCCAAGGAAUCUCCACAGGAUAUCUGAAUACAAAAAUAAAAAAAUAUACAUGUUAAACCAAUUUUGUAAAGCUUUAUAAUAAUAACACCUCCACAAAUAUUGUUGAUCAGUAACAUAAUAUUGUAACAUCAAUUUCAAUUAUCAGAUCUCAACUUAUAGAUACUAACUUGAAUAUACCAAGACAUUCAAGUGCAUAGAUACUUUAUAGAACAAUGCAUUUACCAAAUGUAGUCAUAUGCAUAUAAAGUUUAAAAGCAGUCCAUAAAAAAUAAAUAUAAAAUAAGGGUAGAUAUCUGAUUGUGUUUGGAUUUAUUAAAUAGGGUAGAUUAGUGUCAUAGUUAGCUGAUUGUGGCAAGGUUGAAAUGUUACUGACUCCCUUGAGUUAGGCACUGUUGUACAACAAUGCAAAAGUGAUUUUUUACAUAGUGAUUAGAUUGAGCAUCAUUUAGCUAACUAUAUUUGCAAACCAUUACUUGUCUAACACCCUUGUUUACUUUAUGUUUCCACUCUCAAAUGAGGGAAAUAUCAAUUAACCACUUGCCAAAGGAAAAUCAAAUUGUAUAAGUGUAAUUAUAAAGAAGUUCAUUCUAGCGAUUACCAUAUUGCAUAAUACAGAAGUUCAUUCUUCUUAACAGACCUGCAUAAAGAGUAAUUAAAAAUAAGAAUCCAUGAUGGAAUUGGAAUUAAGAGUAAGAGACAUAACCAAAUUUAAUGAAACCUUAAGACCAUAAAAGACAAUUUAUGAAAUUUUUCUUUCAAUGAAAACCAAAGAGAUUGCCAAACAUGUGAAGUUCACAUCAGACUGAAUAUCAGUUGAUUCUAUAGGAUGAUUCCCAAAUAUCAUCUUCGACUCAUGUCAUCCAAAUCAACAAAUAAUAAGAUAAGUAAAUAAAUCAAUCUAAUUGAAUCUUAUAAUAUCUCACUUCAUUAAAUAGUAAAACUUCAAGCCUAUAAAUUAAGACAGGCAACAUCACAUGUUUUAAUAUCCUAAUAUACAAAUAAUAAUCAUAAAAAUCAUCGUAUUCCAACUAAAUGAAUAAUAGAAAUAAUAAAACCGUACAUUCCAAAAGAUAUAGAGAAAGUAGAAGAUGCAUGAAAAAAUGAACAUAGAUAAAAUAAAUAAGUAUUACUAAAGUAGUGAGAAGUUCACAAAAGAAAUUAAUCUCAUGUUUCUUAAACAUUCAAUCAUGUGUUUUCUGAAAUUGCAUAUGCUUCAUGUGUUACCUAAAAUUGCAUAUGCUUUAUGUUACCUGAAACAUCCUUUGUGAAAUGCUUGAUGACCAAAAUCCCCGAAAGCUAUAAUUAUUCUUCUUUCCAUUACUUUUAGCUCCUGCAUAUUUCAAGCACCAAGAAAGAAAUGAAUUGAUGCAAAUAAAAUAAAAUAAAAUAGACACGAUUUACAAACGCUUGUUUCUGUACAAUAAUUACUGAAACACAAAAAAGCAAUGAAAUAAAACAAAAUGACCAACAGUUUGAGACCUUUAUGAGUUCUAGGAACUUUCUUUCUUGAAAGGGAUCAAAUUCCUUAAAACACAGAGGAACCUUACCUAGUUGAAAUAAAACCCUGUAAUUGAAAUGAAAAUGAGAUAGGGUUCAAAUAAUCUCUUAAGAAAAAAAUAGGAACCAAAUGGAGUGGUUCCUGCCUAAAACAUGAAGCAAAAAAACAACUAAUUGAGAAUUGUGAUUACAACUAAGAAAUCUCAUUAAAAAGUUGUUCAUAUAUUGGUUCAAUUUGAAAUUAUAUUAAAAAGAAGUUGCAAAGUAAUGCUCACAACAAAUAUGUCAGUUUUAGCUAAUAUGAACAGAACUAAACUAUAUAUAUAUAUAUAUNNNNNNNNNNNNNNNNNNNNNNNNNNNNNNNNAUAUAUAUAUAUAUAUAUAUAUAUAUAUAUAUAUAUCUGUGUGUGUGUGUGUAAUUUUAUCUUAGCUCAAAUAAAAUUAAUGUUAAUAUUUUUCAUUUUAUUGGGAUCAAAUAUUGAAAAAUAGGAAAACAAUGUAAAAUGGUGGAUUCUUUAACCAGGUAAUAUGCCAUUUCCAAUUGUAUCUUUUGUGGGGAAUCUUUUCAAACAAUUUAAACCAUGCAUUAAAAUAGAAUCAUAAUGAAUGAAACAAAAUAAUGGUAAUCAUACACACACAACUGCAAAUAGUCAGACCCAAGAUUCAACCCUAAACCAUGCAACAGACCUUCAAGAUUCAUGGUUACUAAAUUAAUUACAAUUACUAUUUUUCACAAAUAUAUGUAUUUGAGAUGGCAAAACAAAUCCAAAUAUAGUAGCGCCUCUAGUAGUGUAUUAGUAAAAGAUUCAUUAACUUCAUGGAGUUUGAAAAUACCAAAUAUAGCAGACAUAAAAAUAACAUGAGAUUUGAAAACCCAAGUUCAAAUGCCUAUUUGUAACUUCAAGCAAAAUAUGUGCAAUAUGAAACCUGCAAGUAUUUCACUUGCAGUUAAGCAUCUAAAAAGGGUGAAUGAUUUAAAAUUGGAAGCUUAUAACAAUGUAGGAUAAUCAUUAACAUUGUAUCAAGAUAGAAAGUUCACCCAUGUUACCUGUUAACCACAUAUCAUCACGAAGGUCACAUUCACUUGAUAUAUUUGUUCUUGCUAUUCAUUUCCACGCUCUUAGUUUGUGAAUUACAUCCAACAUUAUUCUAACUUCAACAUAAUAUGUUUUGCAAAGAAUUUUACGACACCACUUUGUCUGCACUUGAGAAACCAAAAUAAGAGAUUAAGGGUAUAUAGCAAAGUAUGAUUUACCAAGAUAAUUGGGAAAACCAUAUACAAAAAUAGACUACACGAUUAAAAGAAAAAUAGAGGAUUUUGAAUAUUAACAUUCUCAAGUAUAAAUGCAACAAAAAGUGAGUUCUAGAUAUGAUUAUGAACCUCUUUAGACUAAUCAACUUUGGGUGUAACUCCAUUGUGAGAUUCUACCUGUGACAACCAAAAAGGAGAAAAUAAGCAUAAAUGAUAGAUAAUUAGAGAUUGGUUUUUGGAAUUGGACUGAAACUGAAUACAUAUUGCAAGGAAGAUUAACUUGACCUUAAACUUUCAACUANNNNNNNNNNNNNNNNNNNNNNNNNNNNNNNNNNNNNNNNNNNNNNNNNNNNNNNNAGAUGCUAUUCUCAAUCCCUUCUAUCCCUUUCUUUCUUUUAGUUGAUAAUUUGAAAUUAUAUUAAAAAGAAGUUGCUAUCAAUAUGGGUAACUUGAGAAGAAACAGGAACCGAUAUUCUCCAAUAAUUCAAACUGAUUUAAAAUUAAAUAGUCCUUGAUCCAAACUAUUCAAAAUAGCAUCUCACAAUUAAAUAAAAGUAUGCUCAUACAAACUGAUCCAACAGAUAAACAAAUAAGCAUUAAAUUUUCUAAUUUGUGAUCAAUAAAAUAUCAAAUCCUUCAGAUUUUGGAGGAUGCAGACCAUCCUCUUCACUAUUUCAUGUAUAAGUAUAACAAUAACAAUAGUUAUUGGUGGAGAAAGAUAACAUUAAAUGAAGGAAUAUUACUCCCAUAUUUGGUAACUACAAAUACCAUGAAUCAUGAAUAUAAUAAAAAAAACUACAAACAUUGCUACUUUCAAAGACAAAAUUCCAGAAAACAAAUCAUGAAAAUAAGGGAGAGAGAAUAUCUACCUCCAAUUUCAUCAAUUUAAGCUAAUACUGAUGUGAUGUCUCUACCAAAAAAAACUAAUAUUGAUGAAUGAUAUACCUUUUUCCUCAAAUUCAUGAGUAGCAGUCUCUAAUUGGACAUAAAAAAAAACUAUGUGAGAAAUGAAGAAGCAACUAAAUACUACUAAAAUCAGAUUAUAAUAUUCACAAAAACUGAAAUGAAACCUAACUCAGAAGGGAAAAAUUGAAAAUUCAAAGUUCAGAAAACUUACCCAAUCAAACCCUAAUUUGUGAACCUGAACAAACAAUAAAACAUUGCAAGAAAAAAAAAAUCAAAAUUAGAAUAUAAAAUCAAAUCAUGAAAUAAGGAAGGGAUUAAGAAGCAAGUUGAAACCUUUCCAUUUGAUGAAGCCACUGGAGGGGGAUGAAAGUGACGGCAGAGAAGGUGUUGGUGGUGGUGAAGAUAUCAGAGAGGAUGGGAGAGAGCUGAUGAGAGAAGAAUUGAAAUCUAUGAGAAAGAAAGUGAGUUAUGAUAUUGAAGAGAGGGAGAAUUUGAAAUUUGAAAUUGAUUCCAACCUAAUUGAAGUUUUUGAAUUCUAGUCUGUAAAUCUGCAAUAUUGAAAGGGACAGCUCAAGGAAGGUCUUCUUCUUGCUUCUCUGUUUUUCUUUUGAACAAAUUUGAUUUCAAAAUUGUUUGCCAAAAGGAGUAGAGAACUUCUGCAACGCGACACAAUGAAAAGGACGG
rnacentral:lncRNA from 1 species